GGGGGGACUGGGGUUUAGUAGAGGGGGUCACUGUUUUAUACUGUACUUUUCAAAAUAAACCUACGUUUCUAUGAAAAUGUACAUUUUUGUUUUUUUGCGGCCCACUUAAAGUUAAACCUUGUUUAUUUGGCCCUUACUAGUCUUUGAGUUUGACAUGCUUGUUCUAGUGUAUAGGGCCUUGUUUUAUCACAUAAAUCCGUGUCCAGUAUGCCCCCACACAAAGUUCAGCUUAUCACAUAGGAUGAGUAGAACUGCUCUACAGAC